GUGUUAGUUUGCUAACACAUAUACUAAAAUUGGAACGAUACAGAGAAGAUUAGCAUGGCCUCUGCGCAAGGAUGACACGCAAACUCGUGAAGCGUUCCUCAUUUUC
ensembl:snRNA U6 U6 spliceosomal RNA